rnacentral:rRNA from 1 species
UUCCCAGACUCCUACGGGAGGCAGCAGUGAGGAAUAUUGGUCAAUGGCCGUAAGGCUGAACCAGCCAAGUAGCGUGAGGGAAGACUGCCCUAUGGGUUGUAAACCUCUUUUAUGCGGGGAUAAAGGUGUCCACGUGUGGAUGUUUGCAGGUACCGCAUGAAUAAGGACCGGCUAAUUCCGUGCCAGCAGCCGCGGUAAUACGGAGGAUGCGAGCGUUAUCCGGAUUUAUUGGGUUUAAAGGGUGCGCAGGCGGAAUGUCAAGUCAGCGGUAAAAUUUCGGGGCUCAACCCCGUCGUGCCGUUGAAACUGGCGUUCUUGAGUGAGCGAGAAGUAUGCGGAAUGCGUGGUGUAGCGGUGAAAUGCAUAGAUAUCACGCAGAACUCCGAUUGCGAAGGCAGCAUACCGGCGCUCAACUGACGCUCAUGCACGAAAGCGUGGGUAUCGAACAGGAUUAGAUACCCCUGUA